rnacentral:rRNA from 1 species
UAUUGUUCUUCAACGAGGAAUCCCUAGUAAGCACAAGUCACCAGCUUGUGCUGAUUACGUCCCUGCCCUUUGUACACACCGCCCGUCGCUACUACCGAUUGAAUGGCUUAGUGAGGCCUUCGGAUCGGCGUUCGGGGACUGGCAACAGUCUCCGUCUGUUGAAAAGUUGGUCAAACUUGGUCAUUUAGAGGAAGUAAAAGUCGUAACAAGGUUUCCGUAGGUGAACCUGCGGAAGGAUCAUUAUUAUUUGGGUCGGGUUUACUUCCUGCUCUGUUCGGACUGUUCUUUGUGUCUUGAUAAAUAGGAAGUAAACUUUUACCAAAUAAAUCCUAUAUCUCCUAUAGGAGCAAGAUAUUUUUAUUUAAAACCCCACUCUUAAAUAUUUAUUGUAUUUAUUUUGAAUGAUAAAUUAAAGAUCACUUUCAACAACGGAUCUCUUGGCUCUCGCAUCGAUGAAGAACGUAGCGAAGUGCGAUAAGUAAUGUGAAUUGCAGAAUUCCGUGAAUCAUCGAAUCUUUGAACGCAUAUUGCACUCUCUGGUAUUCCGGAGAGUAUGCCUGUUUGAGGGUCAGUUAAAUAAAAAUCGGGGUUUCUGCCACCUUUCGUGGUGACGCUUCGGAAAUGGGCCGUCUUUUACCUAUCGGUUUAAGUGACUUAAAAUUUUUGUAUGAUAUCUGAACGUAUUUAAAUUUAUUUGGUACGUUUUGUAAUAUCGAAUGUUUAUUAGGUGUGGUCAUUCUCAUGACACACGUCUAUAAUUUUUCAUCUAAUGACCUCAAAUCAGGUAAGAGUACCCGCUGAACUUAAGCAUAUCAAUAAGCGGAGGAAAAGAAAAUAACAAUGAUUCCCUUAGUAACGGCGAGUGAAGGGGGGAAAAGCUCAAAUUUUAAAUCCUGCUGGGUUUUACCUUUCAGAGUUGUAUUUUGAAGAAGCGUUUUCCGCGUCUCGGUUGACCCAAAUCCUUUGGGGAUAAGGUAUCAUGGGAGGGUGAGAAUCCCCGUUCGGKUKACCUUAUGACGCUUUACGAUACGCUCUCAAAGAGUCGAGUUGUUUGGGAUUGCAGCUCAAAAUGGGAGGUAAAUUUCUCCUAAGGCUAAAUAUCGGCGAGAGACCGAUAGCGAACAAGUACCGUGAGGGAAAGAUGAAAAGAACUUUGAAAAGAGAGUAAAAUAGUACGUGAAAUUGUUGAAAGGGAAACGAUUGAAGUCAGUCGUACCGACGGAAAAUCAGCUCUUCGAGUGCGAACUUGUGGGCGUACGUGAGCUUUAACCGGCCUCGUUGUUUGCGAUGUUUGUGCUUUUUGGGUGUACUUUUUCGUAUGGUAGGCCAAUGUCAGUUUCGGUCAUCAUAAAAUGAUCGGAGGAAUGUAGCUUCGAUCUCGUAUUGAAGUGUUAUAGCCUCUGGUAGAUGUGAUGAACGAGACUGAGGAUUGCAACGAAUACCCUUCGGUGCUAUCCGCCUGACCUCUGAAAGUUGCUUAGGUGCCGAAAGCUUGCUUACGGUCAUCUAUGACGACGGUCAAAAGGUUAGAACGUGAUUAUAUUCGUUAAGGAUGUUGGCGUAAUGGCUUUAAACGACCCGUCUUGAAACACGGACCAAGGAGUCUAACAUAUAUGCGAGUGUUU